rnacentral:rRNA from 1 species
AGAGUUUGAUCAUGGCUCAGAACGAACGCUUGCGGCGCGCCUAAUACAUGCAAGUCGAACGAGGUAGCAAUACCUAGUGGCGCACGGGUGAGUAACGCGUGGAUAAUCUGCCCUCUAGUGGGGAAUAACCAUCCGAAAGGAUGGCUAAUACCGCAUGAGGCCACAAUUCCUACGGGAAUAGGGGUUAAAGAUUUAUCGCUAGAGGAUGAGUCUGCGUGGGAUUAGCUAGUUGGUGGGGUAAUGGCCUACCAAGGCAACGAUCUCUAACUGGUCUGAGAGGAUGACCAGUCACACUGGAACUGAGACACGGUCCAGACUCCUACGGGAGGCAGCAGUAGGGAAUAUUGCGCAAUGGGGGAAACCCUGACGCAGCGACGCCGCGUGAGUGAUGAAGGCCUUAGGGUCGUAAAGCUCUGUUGAAUGGGAAGAAACAAAUGACGGUACCAUUCGAGAAAGGACCGGCUAACUUCGUGCCAGCAGCCGCGGUAAUACGAGGGGUCCUAGCGUUGUUCGGAAUUAUUGGGCGUAAAGAGUAUGUAGGCGGCCAUACAAGUCAGUUGUGAAAGCCCCGGGCUUAACCUGGGAAGUGCUUCUGAUACUGCAUGGCUUGAAUAUUGGAGAGGAUAGUAGAAUUCCAGGUGUAGUGGUGAAAUACGUAGAUAUCUGGAGGAAUACCGGUGGUGAAGGCGGCUAUCUGGCCAUAUAUUGACGCUGAGAUACGAAAGCGUGGGGAGCAAACAGGAUUAGAUACCCUGGUAGUCC